UAAGGAAUAUUGCGCAAUGGACGAAAGUCUGACGCAGCAACGCCGCGUGCAGGAUGAAGGCCCUUUGGGUUGUAAACUGCUGUAGCAGGGGAAUAAUAACCGUCUCGGACGGGAAUGAAGGUACCCUGAAAGUAAGCUCCGGCUAACUACGUGCCAGCAGCCGCGGUAAUACGUAGGGAGUAAGCGUUGUCCGGAUUCACUGGGUGUAAAGGGUGCGCAGGCGGAUUUGUAAGUCAGAGGUGAAAUCUCACGGCUCAACCGUGAAACUGCCUUUGAUACUGCAGAUCUUGAGUUUGGGAGAGGUUGAUGGAAUUCCAGGUGUAGCGGUGAAAUGCGUAGAUAUCUGGAAGAACACCAGUGGCGAAGGCGGUCAACUGGCCCAUAACUGACGCUCAGGCACGAAAGCGUGGGUAGCAAA
rnacentral:rRNA from 1 species